GACGAACGCUGGCGGCGUGCUUAACACAUGCAAGUCGAACGGAAAGGCCCUGCUUUUGUGGGGUGCUCGAGUGGCGAACGGGUGAGUAACACGUGAGUAACCUGCCCUUGACUUUGGGAUAACUUCAGGAAACUGGGACUAAUACCGGAUAGGAGCUCCUGCUGCAUGGUGGGGGUUGGAAAGUUUCGGCGGUUGGGGAUGGACUCGCGGCUUAUCAGCUUGUUGGUGGGGUAGUGGCUUACCAAGGCUUUGACGGGUAGCCGGCCUGGGAGGGUGACCGGCCACAUUGGGACUGAGAUGCGGCCCAGACUCCUACGGGAGGCAGCAGUGGGGAAUAUUGCACAAUGGGCGGAAGCCUGAUGCAGCAACGCCGCGUGCGGGAUGACGGCCUUCGGGUUGUAAACCGCUUUCGCCUGUGACGAAGCGUGAGUGACGGUAAUGGGUAAAGAAGCACCGGCUAACUACGUG
rnacentral:rRNA from 1 species